rnacentral:rRNA from 1 species
AGUGAACGCUGGCGGUAGGCCUAACACAUGCAAGUCGAACGGCAGCACAGUAAGAGCUUGCUCUUACGGGUGGCGAGUGGCGGACGGGUGAGGAAUACAUCGGAAUCUACUUUUUCGUGGGGGAUAACGUAGGGAAACUUACGCUAAUACCGCAUACGACCUACGGGUGAAAGCAGGGGAUCUUCGGACCUUGCGCGAUUGAAUGAGCCGAUGUCGGAUUAGCUAGUUGGCGGGGUAAAGGCCCACCAAGGCGACGAUCCGUAGCUGGUCUGAGAGGAUGAUCAGCCACACUGGAACUGAGACACGGUCCAGACUCCUACGGGAGGCAGCAGUGGGGAAUAUUGGACAAUGGGCGCAAGCCUGAUCCAGCCAUACCGCGUGGGUGAAGAAGGCCUUCGGGUUGUAAAGCCCUUUUGUUGGAAAGAAAAGCAGCAGGUUAAUACCCCGCUGUUCUGACGGUACCCAAAGAAUAAACACCGGCUAACUUCGU